AUUCCUACGGGGGGCAGCAGUGAGGAAUAUUGGUCAAUGGGCGGGAGCCUGAACCAGCCAAGUCGCGUGAGGGAAGACGGUCCUACGGAUUGUAAACCUCUUUUGCCGGGGAGCAACGGGGUCCUUGCGAGGGCCCGAUGAGAGUACCCGGAGAAAAAGCAUCGGCUAACUCCGUGCCAGCAGCCGCGGUAAUACGGAGGGUGCGAGCGUUAAUCGGAAUUACUGGGCGUAAAGCGCUCGUAGGCGGUAUGUCAAGUCAAGGGGGAAAUCCCCGCGCUCAACGUGGGAACUGCCUUUGAAACUGG
rnacentral:rRNA from 1 species